AUUGAACGCUGGCGGCAUGCCUUACACAUGCAAGUCGAACGGCGGCACGGGUGCUUGCACCUGGUGGCGAGUGGCGAACGGGUGAGUAAUACAUCGGAACGUACCUUAUCGUGGGGGAUAACGCAGCGAAAGCUGUGCUAAUACCGCAUACGCCCUGAGGGGGAAAGCGGGGGAUCGCAAGACCUCGCACGAUUAGAGCGGCCGAUGCCUGAUUAGCUUGUUGGUGGGGUAAAAGCCCACCAAGGCGACGAUCAGUAGCUGGUCUGAGAGGACGAUCAGCCACACGGGGACUGAGACACGGCCCAGACUCCUACGGGAGGCAGCAGUGGGGAAUUUUGGACAAUGGGGGCAACCCUGAUCCAGCAAUGCCGCGUGAGCGAAGAAGGCCUUCGGGUUGUAAAGCUCUUUUGUCAGGGAAGAAACACCGGCUCUAACACAGUCCGGGAAUGACGGUACCUGAAGAAUAAGCACCGGCUAACUACGUGCCAGCCGCCGCCGUAA
rnacentral:rRNA from 1 species